GUGAGGAAUAUUGCGCAAUGGAGGCAACUCUGACGCAGCCAUGCCGCGUGCAGGAAGAAGGCGCUACGCGUUGUAAACUGCUUUUAACCGGGAAGAAACCCCAGGACGUGUCCUGGGUUGACGGUACCGGAGGAAUAAGCACCGGCUAACUUCGUGCCAGCAGCCGCGGUAAUACGAAGGGUGCAAGCGUUAUCCGGAUUCAUUGGGUUUAAAGGGUGCGUAGGCGGAGCGUUAAGUCAGUGGUGAAAUCCUGCAGCUUAACUGUAGACUUGCCAUUGAUACUGGCGCUCUUGAGUGCGCUUGAAGUGGGCGGAAUGUGCCGUGUAGCGGUAAAAUGCUUAGAUAUGGCACAGAACACCAAUUGCGAAGGCAGCUCACUAAGGCGAUACUGACGCUGAGGCACGAAAGCGUGGGGAUCGAACAGGAUUAGAAACCCGGGUAGUCC
rnacentral:rRNA from 1 species